rnacentral:rRNA from 1 species
GAUGAACGCUGGCGGCGUGCCUAACACAUGCAAGUCGAACGAAGCUCUGCGAUACAAGACUUCGGUCAAGUUGAACGGAUGACUUAGUGGCGGACGGGUGAGUAACGCGUGAGGAACCUGCCUUUCAGUGGGGGACAACAGUUGGAAACGACUGCUAAUACCGCAUAAUGUAUUCUGACCGCAUGAUCGGAAUACCAAAGAUUUAUUGCUGAAAGAUGGCCUCGCGUCUGAUUAGAUAGUUGGUGAGGUAACGGCCCACCAAGUCGACGAUCAGUAGCCGGACUGAGAGGUUGAACGGCCACAUUGGGACUGAGAUACGGCCCAGACUCCUACGGGAGGCAGCAGUGGGGAAUAUUGGGCAAUGGGGGAAACCCUGACCCAGCAACGCCGCGUGAAGGAAGAAGGCUUUCGGGUUGUAAACUUCUUU